UGGGGAAUUUUGGCCAAUGUGCGCAAGCCUGAUCCAGCCAUUCCGCGUGCAGGACGAAGGCCUUCGGGUUGUAAACUGCUUUUGUACGGAACGAAAAGCCCUUCUCUAAUACAGAGGGGUCAUGACGGUACCGUAAGAAUAAGCACCGGCUAACUACGUGCCAGCAGCCGCGGUAAUACGUAGGGUGCAAGCGUUAAUCGGAAUUACUGGGCGUAAAGCGUGCGCAGGCGGUUUUGUAAGACAGAGGUGAAAUCCCCGGGCUCAACCUGGGAACUGCAUCUGUGACUGCAUCGCUGGAGUGCGGCAGAGGGGGAUGGAAUGCCGGGUGUAGCAGUGAAAUGCGUAGAUAUGCGGAGGAACACAGAUGGCGAAGGCAAUCCCAUGGGACUGCACUGACGCUCAUGCACGAAAGCGGGGGGAGAAAAAA
rnacentral:rRNA from 1 species